rnacentral:rRNA from 1 species
AGAACGAACGCUGGCGGCGUGGAUUAGGCAUGCAAGUCGAACGCGAAAGAGGGGGGUAACCCCCCUUGAGUAGAGUGGCGAACGGGUGAGUAACGCGUGAAGAACCUGCCUUCAACAGGGGGAUAACACUCCCAACGGGGUGCUAAUACCGCGUAAGACCACGGGUCCGCAUGAACCCGAGGUCAAAGGUGGCCUCUGCUUGCAAGCUACCGGUUGAAGAUGGCUUCGCGUCCCAUUAGCUAGUUGGCGGUGUAAUAGACCACCAAGGCGACGAGUGGUAGCGUGGUCUGAGAGGAGUGGUCAGCCACGACG